rnacentral:pre_miRNA from 1 species
AAGGCCAAAGCGGCCUCAGAUCUUGCCAAUUUUUCAAUGCGGUUAAAUUGGCACCUCUUAGACCGGCUUGGAGCG